UUGGAGGGCAAGUCUGGUGCCAGCAGCCGCGGUAAUUCCAGCUCCAAUAGCGUAUAUUAAAGUUGUUGCAGUUAAAAAGCUCGUAGUUGAACUUCGGGAUCAAUUGAUUGGCCAUGCCAUUGGUAUGUACUGGUCAUAUUGGUUCUCACCUUCUAAGGAACCAUAAUGUCAUUAAUUUGAUGUUUUGGGGAAUUAGGACUGUUACCUUGAAAAAAUUAGAGUGUUUAAAGCAGGCUCACGCUUGAAUACAUUAGCAUGGAAUAACGAAAUAGGACGUUUGAUUCUAUUUUGUUGGUUUCUAGGAUCGACGUAAUGAUUAAUAGGGAUAGUUGGGGGCAUUAGUAUUCAAUUGUCAGAGGUGAAAUUCUUGGAUUUAUUGAAGACUAACUACUGCGAAAGCAUUUGCCAAGGAUGUUUUCAUUAAUCAAGAACGAAAGUUAGGGGAUCGAAGACGAUCAGAUACCGUCGUAGUCUUAACCAUAAACUAUGCCGACUAGGGAUCGGAUGAUGUUAAUUUUUUAAUGACUCAUUCGGCGCCUUACGGGAAAC
rnacentral:rRNA from 1 species